AUUGAACGCUAGCGGGAUGCUUUACACAUGCAAGUCGAACGGCAGCGCGGACUUCGGUCUGGCGGCGAGUGGCGAACGGGAGCGCAAUGUAUCGGAACGUGCCCAGUAGCGGGGGAGAACUACGCGAAAGCGGAGCUAAUACUGCAUACGGCCUACGGGGCAAAGCAACGGAUCGUAAGACCUUGCACCAUUGGAGAGGACGAUAUCGGAUUUGCUAGUUGGUGAGGUAACGUCGCACCAAGGCGAAGAUCCGUAGCCGGUUUGCGAGGACGACCAGCCAAACUUGGCCUGAGACCCGGCCCAGACUCCUACGGGAGCCACCAGUGGUGCAUUUUGGACCAUGAGGGCGACCCUGAUCCCACCAUGCCCCAUGUGCGAUGAGGGACUUCGCGUUGUAGAGCACUUUUGACACGAAAGAUACGUCGCGUGCUAAUAGCGCGUGGAAAUGACAUUACCUGCAGAAUAAGCCCCGGCUAACUCCGUG
rnacentral:rRNA from 1 species